CAAACCUAACCUAAGUGCUUUCUGCACAGGAGACGACUUUCCUUUUGAAUGGUCAUCCUUGGAACAACUAAGAGUGAGAGAGUGGCCCAAAAUGAAGAUUCUCGCUGCCGUUGCCACUACUUCCAGCGGGAUCCAAAGCACACCAACACUGAAGGAAGUUGUAUUUGAUAACUUCGAGAAAAUACCGCUGCAGGGAAUGGACUUGAAUCAGUUUGUGCAAAUCCAUUUCAAAGCAGAGUGGACUGAAGUCUUAUGUUGAGCUAUGAUUACCUGCCGGAUGAGGAAUCCAAGUCCUGCUUGUUGCUUUGUGUUUUGUUUCCUGAGGAGGCUAACGUCUCAGUAGAAAUUUUGGUUCGAUAUGACUGUGAGAAGUUGGAGGACAUUAUUGUAAAGAAAAACCUAGGGAACGAAGAACAAGAAGCUAUAGUGGAUAAGAUGGUGUUCAAAAAUCUAAAAAAAAAAAUCGGAACAUCUUUCACAUCUCUAUAGUUUCUGUACCGGGAGAUCUGCUUUGAAUGGUCAUCCUCGAAUGAGUAAUUGAGAAAGAUUGCUCUAAAAUCAAGACUUCUACUUCUGCCGCUCCCUCCAAGGUCUUCUUCUGAUUAUGCAAACGCACUUCAAUGUCAAGCAAGUAUUGCUAGCAGUGAAGAAGGCUGAGAUUGUACAGAGGUGUGCUUGCUGUCCUUAGUGUUUCUGAACAGGAGCCUCACUUUACACUAUUUGGAUGCUAAUUUAAAUAAAGUUCAUGUUUACAUUUUAGUUUGGCUUUGAAUUAGUCAUCUAAAUUCGACAUUGCGAUAUACUUGAUUGUAUUGUACAUUUUCAUAAUACCUUGUGAUCUAUAGAAGAAAGUCUUUUCAACUCUAAUGCUCCUAUUCCAAUCGGUUAAAUUACUUUGCUGGAUAGAGUUAGCAAAAACUACUUUAUUCACUCCUAUUCCAAAAAGAACAAGUCGGAAAAGCUCAUCUUUUAAUUAUUUGAUAGAGUAAUUGUUUGAGAAUUGGGGUUUUAAUAAUUAUAUUUUUGUGUUCUCAUCCAAUUCAAGGAGGACUGUCUACGUGCUUGUGCACACAUACAUUAGUAGUAAUUUUCCACCUAACAAAAACCAUAACAAAACAAUUGGGAUUUGGGAGCAAAUUUAGCAGGAAUAGACAAUUUGACUGAAACAGAGCAGUAAAAUUGCAGCCCAACUCCAUUUACCAGUAACUGUAAAAACACUGCUAACUGUGCUAUUGAACUGUUGUAAGGUUCUUUAAUGGACAGCUCACUUGUCUUCUAAAUUCUUAUCAUUAUAUCUGUCAUCAUCAUUAUCAUCAUUAUUUAUACAUGUAGACUCAUUGCCUUUGUCUGUC